CCGCAUCUGGGUCGGCCCAAGGUCACACAUGGGGGAGCGAGAGGGUGCGCGCUAAAUCUCAUAAAAAAGAGGGUGCGCGUUGCCCACUUUCCCACACGCUCGUCCGGCCGCAACGCCGGCGUCCGCAGGCGGCUGUAGUUCAUGCACCAAGUCGGAGCAUCAUCACUCGCGUGAGAUAUGAGACACAGGAAACGAGGCAAGCCGGAGCAGGGAUGCCGCCCAAGUUGCUACCUGCUACGGACUUGGUGUCCUGGGUUGACCAAACUCUGGCCGCAAAAGAGCUGCUGGGGAUCAAGGUCUACCACAGACUCUGCCUUGAUUAACCUUAAGAAGCAGGUCUGAUGAAGCAAGAGGACGCGAUGACACUGAGAACUGGAGGGGAAAAGCUGAAAGAGAAUACUUCUCGUCUGAUGAGGAUCUGCGCGACGGCUUAUCAAGAAGAAGGAGCUCGUUGAGGAGGGGGUGAUCGUGAUCUUGUCUUUUACUUUGCUGGAAUAGUUGCCUCCUGCGUGAGGUUGGUUCGGGCCUGUUGCUCUGGUUGGAGCCUAUCGUUUGUUUUGGUCUGGUUGUAGACGGUGUUUGAUCUGGUUAGGGCUUGGAUUAUAUAGUGUCGUCGGGUUUUCGCCCACAGUGAGUAAUCUCGAUGACGAGUGCUCAUGGUGGGUUUUCCGGCGAUGCUUGAACCCGCUUUCCUCUUUCCCGCCUUAUUUUCUGGACAAUGGUUGUAUUUCCGUUAUGUCGCAGUAAUGGAAAGGGGUAAUGCCUGGUUAAAAAAAAAAGCACCCAUGUAUAAACACAUGCUUUACAACUUCAAGCUAGUGCUCAAGGAAUAUAUAUUACAGGGUAGAAUCGUACAAGUAGAAAUUUCAGCAGUGCAUUUUGCUCGUUCCUAGCAGUACCAGUUUUUUUUGCGGGCCCUAGCAGUACAAGUUUAACUGUUGUUAGUCCAAGAUGAAAGCAUGUGUAGAGUCAUCAUGUGGCCAGUGUUAUUUCCUGUGCAAUACGGCAGUGUCUUUGAUGUGCACACGACUGGUUGCUGACUAAUUGAAAGGUUACGUAACGGUUUGUUACCUUUCAUGAGUCAAGGUCCACUUGCAUGUAGGCCCGUUGCAAGCUACUGUAGUUAAUGUAGUCAUUGUACAAGAGUGUCGUAACGUGUCUCCCAGUGGCAAGAAUCUACAGCAGGAGAGCUACAUUAUUAACUUGAUUAGAAGCUCUCCUCCAAAGCUGGAGUUGAUUAUAUUACUUGAAAUAUAGUCUGAGUUUUAGGGGAUGACAACAUUAGGAAAGGUUACACAUAUUAAUUAUAGCUGAUUUGAAGACUAAAUGGAGAAGAAUACUAAUGUUUCUAUUUUACUUGAGAGAAAUACCUUGGGUACCUACUUGAGAGAAAAGGUUACCCUUUGCUCUGUAAGGUAAGAGUCGGACUUAUAGGGGAUAUUACCGAAAAAGGGUUUCCCCCGCUUUGUAUACAAAGCAACCAACCAAGACAACCAACGAUAGGUGCUGGGGCGAAACCAGCACAGUCACGCCCAAAAGAAAAAAAAAGAGAAAAUACAAGAGAAACAAAUGCCGACAACGGCGGAUCGACAAAAAAACAAAGAAGCCUCGUGGCCGCUGCAUCCACCGGAGCUCGCCCACCAAGCUCCGAGCCUCUGAAGCGCCGGUACCAAUCAACACCUCCAAGACGGGACGCGACGAUGACGACGCUGAUGCCAAGGGUUUCCCCCGGUACGCUGAGAGGAGAGAGGAAGGGUAGCCCCGACGCCUUCCAGGAAGGUCCGUGUAACACCCACGAUGCGGCUAUAUCUCCCACGUGUCGAGGCACGACUAGAGGCAUAACCGCAUGGUGGU